AUGCUGUCUGUGUUUGUCUCGAGUACCUUUACAUUGCCAGGACUUAACAUGCUGUUAAUAAACAGAUUUGCUGCGCCUCUGAGGAGUCUUCAGAAGCUGACGUGGGCGUGCCGAUGGCAUCAUGCUAGUUUGACAAAUGAGUUCAUUGAAAACAUGGACAAAAAAGCAACAUGGGACAGAUUCUACAUAGAAAAUGCAAGCAAAGGCAACUUCAAAAAUUUCGAGUGGUUUUUUGGCUUUCACUCAGUCCAGGACUUCAUUUUUCCUGUACUUCAGACCAUGCCUCAUUCCCAAAUUGGCCCUUUACACAUCCUGGACAUGGGCUGUGGCACAUCCGCCUUAGGACCCUGUAUUUACAGAUACUCUCCAUGUGUUGUCAUGGUCACCUGUGCUGACAUCUCCCUGGUGGCAGUGCAAAUUCUGGAGGAGUACACCAAUGCUAUACCAGUACAGCCACAGAAUCCAUCCUCUGCUCUUGCCUUCGUAGAGCUGGACUGCACACAGUUAAGAGGACACUUUGGGGCCAGAAGCCUAGACUUGAUUUUGGACAAAGGUACAACGGAUGCUUUAGUUAGGUCUAAAGAGGGGCAAGUAAAGGCUGGUCAGAUAUUAAAGCAAUGCUUACAGGUACUGAGACCCUCAGGGAGUCUCUUACAGUUCUCAGACGAGGACCCUGAUGCCAGGCUUGUAUGGCUGGAGAGAGAGGUUAGAGGAACAGAUCUGGCAGCUGAUGUGAGAGUUCAAGAGGUGGUGGAAUUGAGAGGGGUCAGUUAUUUUUGCUAUCAGAUUACACCUCGUAUUGCCCCAUAUUUAAAAAAUAUAAUAUAAUGCAAAUUCCUUUGCACUUCGAAAGAGAUUUUAACCAAGUGAUAAUACAGUAGGAAAAGGCUGCAUCAGGUCAGCACUGAAAAUGUAACCAUGAGCUUUUUACGCAAUAUACAACUGGCCUAAUCAAAAUCCUGUUUACUUAAUUUGCAUUAGGCCUAGCUAAACAAAAACAACACACAAUUCAAAUUGCAAGAGACCUAUUUUACACUUUGUUGAAAAACAAAUGUUAAUUUCAGAGUAAAAACAAAAAGUGCCAGAAACAUUCUGUGGUGCUGAUUUUUUUCAUUAAAGCAGCAAACCAUCUGUUGUAGUAUCACAGUUAAGUAUUAUUGUGACACUAAUAAUUAUGAAAAUCUAGUAACAUUGAAUGACUUGCAUCUACGCGAUGGGAGAAAGGUGCCAUCUGUUGUUCCUGGCAGGCUACUCUGCCUUACAGGCUCCAUUUGGUUAGAAUUAGGGCAUCUGCUGCCUGCCAGGAACAAACCGUGGCACUUUUGUACAAUGGGCUUUCAUCUACAGUAAGUUGGAAUCUCAGACUUUAUAAAUCAUAUUUAAAACUAAAUAUAACAAUAAAGAGACUACAGAAACAUUUAAAUGCUAAAAACACAUACAUACACCCUUAAUAACAAAGAGAUAAACAGUAAGAAAAAAGCAUUAUGGGCUAUAAUUUCAACAAGGUGGCAUGCAGAACCUGUGCCUUUCAACUCAAAGGGUAAAGUUUGAUGAACAAUGUUUUAUAUUAUGGCCAAACACACUUUGAUGUGGAUUUUCUAUGGAUUGACUAUUUGUAGAAGUGACCUGGUCUCUCUUUUUUAUACAGAUUGUAUAGCCUUCUGUGUCUCUUUUUCAUGACCAAAUUGUUCACUGGCUAAUAGGGGGCAACAGUUGAAUUGACAGCACCUAAAAAAACAAUUCACUCUUUCGCACUAAUUUGACCUUAAAAUGAAUAAAUAGGUAAAAAAUAAAAAUUCUGUCAUUAUUUACUCAACCUCACAUCAUUCCAAAGCUUCUUGACUUUCUUUUGGUAGAACACAAAAGGUGAAUUUCAAAACAAUAUCCUGGCAAAAAUUUUCCAUCUAAUAAAAGUGAAUAAGGACUGGGGCUGUCAUGAUCCAAAUGACAAAAAAGCACCAUAAAAGUGAUUCAUAUGCAUUGUGCGCUAUAUUCCAAGUCUUCUGAAGCCAGAGACUGAAAAAGACUGAAAUUUAAAUUAUUUACUGAAAAUAUCAACAUCUGUUCUAGCUCUCUUUGGAAUGUUCAUGUUAGAUUCAUGAGAUUCGUAACUGAUCAUAAUUAAGUUGGAUCUUUUCCAUGAAUAUAUUGAUCCAGUUUACAAAAUUGGUCUGGAUGAUUUGCUCAUGAAUCAGUCUGAUCUGGUUCUCAAGUUCAAUUCACUGAGUCACUGACCACGUUUACAUACACUUAAGAAAAUGUUUUUUGCAGAAAGCACCGUUUUGAAACGUCACGUAAACAAGAACGCAGAUUUCCUUACGCCGUUUAAGGGAUUAAAAGAAAACGGGUUAACACACCUAGGUUUCUCCCAAAGAACACGGCUUACUGUGGUCAUUUAAAUGCAUAAUCAUCAUUCUAACCUGUUUUUGAGGAGUGCGCUUGUGCAUGAACAGACCGCAUAUAAAAUGUCAUAGGAUGGAGCCCAACAACAUGUCAACACAGUGAAAAGAAUUCAACAUUUCUGGAAGUACAGUGGGAAAAAUCACAAACUAUAAACUAUACCCAUUUCUAAACAUCAGUGUAAAUCACCGGCGGUGUACAUGCGCUUGUAUAUUGAGGAAAUCCUGCAGUUUUAUGUAAGAGCGAAACCUCACUAUUGCACAAUUCAGCUGCAGGUGACGAUAGAAUGUGAAGGAAACGAACACAGCAACAACUCUGGAAUAUCUGGAAAUAAAGUGAAGCAACAGAGAAUAAAACAGCGAAGUAUUCCAUCGGAUCCCAUGUUUGUUAUUUACAUAAGCGUUCGGGGAAAUUGCGUUGCUGUGGAGAAAGUGUUUUCUUAAAGUGUUUUAAAACAGAUUUCUGAAUUCACCCACUGACUGCCAAUGGUAAAAAAAAUACAAAAAUAGUCCUGCCCCAAACUCACUCCACUGGUUGAGACAAUGUUGCUGUGUCGGGCUGGACGGGCCGCUCAAACAGCAAUUUUGGUAAGCACUACAGAGCCAGAGUGUUUACACAUCUGGGAAAAAUCAACCUACUAAGUAAUUUACUUUAGUAAAUUUACUUUUAGUUAUUUCUACAUAUUAAUAUGGGCUAGCAAAAAUUAUUUUAACAUUGAAAAAAUUACAUCAGUUUUAACAGUUCACAGAAGUGGAAGAUUUUAAGAAAAUAAUGACUUCAGGAACAGCCCCAGUCCUUCUCAUUCAAUCUUAUUAUAUAGAACAGAGUGGCCAGGAUAUAAAAUAAAUAAAUAAAUAAAAUAAAUCGCCUUUUGUGUUCAUUUUAAACCAAUAAAAUGCUGCUUCCGGAGGCUGUAUACGGAGGUAGGAAGGGAUCGAGGCAUGUCAGAAUCCAAUGUUUUUGUCACAUACUGUCUACUGAGAUACCUUCAUCUGAUCAAUUUUUGAAGGCAGCAUAUUUGUAUCCUUCGCUGCCUAUGAAAUCCCACAAUCCUGUGCUCCUGAAUCCAUGGCGAUUGAGUUGAAGAAAAACAAAUGGCGGCCUAAGAGGCAGUUGAUAGACAAUUUAUGUAUAAAUGUACGUUUCUAUUCAAUUUUUCCAUAUUUUGAUUCCAUUUCUAGUGAGUAGUAGUAUUGUAGUUAUUAAAUAUACACUUGGUUAUUGCUGAAACUCUCUUAAAUUUGGUCUAGAUUAGAGCAUUGCAGUUUGGUUAGAUGAUUGAAGCAGACGCGUUACCUUUAGUGGACACCAGAUGGCGUUAAUCAGUUGCUGGUAUCCUAGCAACAAUGUGACAUUAUGCUACCUCAGUAGCAGUGUUGGGUGUAAUGCGUUACUAAGUAAUUAAUUAUUGUAAUUAAAUUACUUUUUCAUUGAAAAAAGUAAAGGGAUUACUCUUAAUUUUUCAGUAAUUUAAUUACAGUUACUUCUGAUGUAAUUGUGUUAAAUACUGUAUAGACUAUAGAAAAAUUCUAUAUAAAACAAUAGUGAAUUUAAAAUCGAAAUUUAACAUCUAAUGUUAAAAUGUAAAAUGUUUUCUAAUUUAACGCUGCCCCCAUAAAAUCUUUGGCCAGUUCAUGAAUAAUUUAUAUGAUUUUAUAUGAUUUAUUUGAAAGAAUUAAAAGAACACUUUAAUGUCUAUCCUUGUAUUUUUCAUCUGGUCGAGGUUGAUAAGGGUUUUAGAAAGUAAUUAGUAAUAAGUAAGGCAAUUACUUUUCAGACAGAGUAAUAAGUACAGUAAUCUAAUUACACUGUAGAAGAUGUAAUUAGUAGUUAGUAAUUAAUUACUUUUUUAGAGUAACUUCCCCAACACUGCUCAGUAGUCUGUCCAAAACAGGAAAGGUACCUUCAUACACAAAUGAUGUCUGUUGAGUCAUUGAUAGGGCAGCGAGGCAACAAGACAGCUAGCUUUGGUUUCGGAUGCAGCCAUUAUGUGUAGAACAUCUCUAAUGAUCAUCUCUGCUUAAAGGGAUAGUUCACCAAAACUUAAAUUCUCUCAUCAUUUACUCACCCUCAUGAUAUCUCAGGUGUGUAUGACUUUCUUUCAUCAGCAAAACACAUUUGAAGAAAAAUAGAAAAAUAUCUUAGCUCAGCAGGUCCUUAAAAUGCAAGUGGAUGGUGAGCCAUCUUUUUAAGCUCCAAAAGUCAAAGACAGUCAGCAUAAACGUCAUCCAUGGUUUAUAGUUAAAAAGUACUUAAAUAUUGAUCUUAUUCGCACCAAAAGUGAUCGUAUCACUUUAGAAGACAUUAAUAUAACCGCUGGAGUCGUAUCGAUGACGUUUAUGAUGACUGUCUGUUCUUUUUGGAGCUUCAAAAGUCUGAUCACCAUCCACUUGCAUUUUAAGUAGUGUGGCCAGACGUCCAGUUUUCCCGGGACAGUCCCGUAUUUAAGCACUUUUUCUAGUGUCCCGACUUAUUCUGAAAAAAUCGUGUUUUGUCCCAUAUUUCCCCUCUCACCUAUGCAGCUUUCUCAGUCAUGUGAGUAUUCUAAUCAAAAGGAGCCAAGGAUACGGCUUGUAAAAUCAAUAAAAUCACACUGUGUUAUUUGAAGUACAUGAUUGGAUUAAACUAUUCAAUCACAAUCCCCCAUCAAUAGACGUCCAGUUAGUGAACUGAUUGAAGAGUCAGUUUGAAAACACAGAUGAAAUUACGGCUGGAAAAAUGUCAAAGCGUGCAUGUACAUUUAAUGAGGAUCUUCAAAAAGAGUUUACAUUUCUAAAAAAGGAGUCACAGACAGAGCAGAAUAAAGUGAGGUGUGAGAUUUGUGGAGCUCGCUUUUCCAUCGCCCAUGGAGGCUGCACCGACAUUGCUCAGCAUGUUCAUACAAAAAAGGUGGAUGCUGCUAAAAGUAAGUGUGCCACACCAAGUGUUAGCGAUUUUUGUUUUUGUUUUUUGUGAAGCAAAGUUCUGAAUCUGACAAGGUGCACACAAGUGAAGGACUUUUUGCUUAUCAUUCUGUUGUGCACGGCCAUAGCUUUGCACAUUCAUGACCUGAGAAAAGUCUAGCAGGCCAUGCUGGAGGAAUCAUUCAUACUCUCUGACAUUAAAAAGCAGUUGGGUGCCCUGGUUAAAGCUUUGGAGUUUUGGAGUGCUGUGAGAAACUUUUAUUCAGCAUCAGUGGGUUACCUCCAAAAUUGGAGCCACUUAUUGGAGAACAUAGAAAAACUUGAGUGGGCCUUAUUGAGAGACAUCCCAGAGUGGAAAGACAUUCAGAGCAGCCUCGAACACUUCUGCAGAAUCCCCGCUCUCAGUAUGAUUGACGAAAUCACGCACUUUGAUGAGUGGGCUUGCGUGAAAAACAUUGUCACUCGUCGCAUCACUCAGUUGAACAUAAGCAACAUGGCCGAGAGCAAGACCAUCAACUUUCCAAGGUCGUGGAGUUUGUUUUAUGCCUGCCUGAACAUCUGAAUCUGUGAAGCAUGUGUUCUCAUUAAUGAACGCAGCAUGGAUACCGGAUAAAUCUGGACUCAGUGUAACAGCCAUGAAGGCAAUGCUUUUUGUACGUCUUAAUUUUGGACUGUCACUGGACUGCUCUGCAUUUUACGAUAAACUCUUGAAAGUCAAGCGCACACUGAGAAAAAUUGCUGCCAGCGAAAAGUACAAGGUGACAACAGUUACAGAUGCGGAUGCACCCUCUACUUCGCAUUGAUCUGCGCCUCGGUAAGGAUACGUCAAUUUAAUUUUGCUGGGAGGGGGCUGUCCCAUUUUCCACUAUCAGGAAUCUGGUCACCCUCAUUUUAAGGACCUAUUGAGCCAAGAUAUUUUUCUUCAAAUGUGUUCUGUUGAAGAAAGAAAGUCAUACACAUCUGGGAUGGCAUGAGGAGAUUGACAGUUCCACUCCCCAUGCCUGUGCAACAUGUUCCAGCAGCAGGCACAUUAUUCUGUGGUGGGCAACAGCAUUCCAGUGCACUCCAUCAUGCGUUUGGUGAUGCUGAAGCAAAACUGAAAGUGCAAGUCCAGCACAUCAAAGC